rnacentral:rRNA from 1 species
UCCGUAGGGGGCAAGCGUUGUCCGGAAUUACUGGGCGUAAAGGGCGCGUAGGCGGAUACUUAAGUCGGGGGUGAAAGCCCGGGGCUCAACCUCGGAAUUGCCUUCGAUACUGGGUAUCUUGAGUUCGGGAGAGGUGAGUGGAAUGCCGAGUGUAGAGGUGAAAUUCGUAGAUAUUCGGCGGAACACCAGUGGCGAAGGCGACUCACUGGCCCGAUACUGACGCUGAUGCGCGAAAGCGUGGGGAGCAAACAGG